GUGGCCGUAGCUCAUCGGGUAGAGCACCGGAUUGUGGCUCCGGAGGUGGGGGGUUCGAGACCCCUCGGCCACCCCA
rnacentral:tRNA from 1 species